UCAAGUAUCUUACAAGCAUAUAGAGGAUGCCUUGGCGCUAAAAGGCGAUGAAAGACGUGGUACACUGCGAUAAGCUGCGGGGAGUUGUGAACAAACUUUGAUCCGUAGAUUUCUGAAUGGGGAAACCCGGCCCUUCGGGGUCAUUAAUUAGUGAAUACAUAGCUAAUUAAAGCAAACCUGGUGAACUGAAACAUCUAAGUAACCAGAGGAAAGGACAUCAAUUGAGACUCCGUUAGUAGUGGCGAGCGAACGCGGACCAGGCCAAUGUUUUUUGAUAAUCAAAGUAGAACCAUCUGGAAAGUUGGGCCAUAGUAGGUGAUAGCCCUGUAUAUUAAUGAUUAUCUUAAAGCUUCGAGUAGGACGGGACACGUGAAAUCUUGUCUGAACGUGGGGGGACCACCCUCCAAGCCUAAGUACUCUUUAGCGACCGAUAGUGAACAAGUACCGUGAGGGAAAGGUGAAAAGAACCCCGACGAGGGGAGUGAAAUAGAUCUGAAACUGUAUGCUUACAAUCAGUCGGAGCCCGCAAGGGUGACGGCGUACCUUUUGUAUAAUGGGUCAGCGACUUAAUUUAUCAAGCAAGCUUAAGCCGAUAGGUGUAGGCGUAGCGAAAGCGAGUCUUAAUAGGGCGUCUAGUUUGGUGGAUUAGACCCGAAACCGAGUGAUCUAGCUAUGAGCAGGUUGAAGGUGCAGUAACAUGCACUGGAGGACCGAACCCACUUAUGUUGAAAAAUGAGGGGAUGACUUGUGGCUAGGGGUGAAAGGCCAAUCAAACUCGGAGAUAUCUGGUUCUCCGCGAAAUCUAUUUAGGUAGAGCGUCAUGUGAAUACCAUCGGGGGUAGAGCACUGGAUGGGCUAGGGGGACUCACCGUCUUACCAAACCUAACCAAACUCCGAAUACCGAUGAGUAAUGCAUGGCAGACACACUAUGGGUGCUAAGGUCCAUAGUGGAAAGGGAAACAGCCCUAACCGCCAGUUAAGGUCCCGAAAUCAUUGCUAAGUUGAAAAGGAUGUAGAACGUCCAAAACAGCCAGGAGGUUGGCUUAGAAGCAGCCAUCCUUUAAAGAAAGCGUAACAGCUCACUGGUCUAAUUAAGAUGUUCUGUGCCGAAAAUGUAACGGGGAUCAAGCAAUGUACCGAAACUGCGGGUGCUAUUUAUAGCGCGGUAGCGGAGCGUUCCGUAAGCCUGUGAAGGAUAACCGUGAGGUUAUUUGGAGGUAUCGGAAGUGAGAAUGCUGACAUGAGUAACGAUAAAGAGGGUGAGAAACCCUCUCGCCGAAAGUCCAAGGGUUCCUGCUUAAAGUUAAUCUGAGCAGGGUUAGCCGGCCCCUAACGCGAGGGCGAAAGCCGUAGUGGAUGGGAAUGAGGUUAAUAUUCCUCAGCCAGUGGGUAGUGACGGAUUUGGUAACCUGUAUUUUCUUAUUGGAUUGAGAAUGCAGCGAACAAGUUCCAGGAAAUAGCUCCCACAUUACUGACCGUACCCCAAACCGACACAGGUGGACGAGUAGAGAAUACUAAGGCGCUUGAGAGAACUAUGUUGAAGGAACUCGGCAAAAUACCUCCGUAACUUCGGGAGAAGGAGGCCCGGUCUUAAGGCAACUUUUGGUCGGGGGCACAAAAUUGGGGGUGGCGACUGUUUACUAAAAACACAGGACUCUGCGAAGCCGCAAGGCGACGUAUAGGGUCUGACGCCUGCCCGGUGCUGGAAGGUUAAGAGGAGGAGUGCAAGCUCUGAAUUGAAGCCCCAGUAAACGGCGGCCGUAACUAUAACGGUCCUAAGGUAGCGAAAUUCCUUGUCGGGUAAGUUCCGACCUGCACGAAUGGCGUAACGACUUCCCCGCUGUCUCCAACAUAGACUCAGUGAAAUUGAAUUUCCCGUGAAGAUGCGGGAUAACUGCGGUUAGACGGAAAGACCCCGUGCACCUUUACUACAGCUUUGCAGUGAUAUUAGUAAUGCUAUGUGUAGGAUAGGUGGGAGGCUUUGAAGCAUUAGCGCCAGUUAGUGUGGAGCCAUCCUUGAAAUACCACCCUUAUCCUUAUUGAUAUCUAACCGCGGUCCGUGAAACCGGAUCCGGGACCCUGCAUGGUGGGUAGUUUGACUGGGGCGGUCGCCUCCCAAAGAGUAACGGAGGCGCGCGAAGGUAGGCUCAGGCCGGUCGGAAAUCGGUCGUUGAGUGCAAUGGCAUAAGCCUGCCUGACUGCGAGACUGACAAGUCGAGCAGAGACGAAAGUCGGUCAUAGUGAUCCGGUGGUCCCGCGUGGAAGGGCCAUCGCUCAACGGAUAAAAGGUACGCCGGGGAUAACAGGCUGAUGACCCCCAAGAGUUCAUAUCGACGGGGUUGUUUGGCACCUCGAUGUCGGCUCAUCGCAUCCUGGGGCUGGAGCAGGUCCCAAGGGUUUGGCUGUUCGCCAAUUAAAGCGGUACGUGAGCUGGGUUUAGAACGUCGUGAGACAGUUCGGUCCCUAUCUGCCGUGGUUGUAGGAGAAUUGAGAGGAGUUGCCCCUAGUACGAGAGGACCGGGGUGAACGUACCUCUGGUGGACCUGUUGUCGCGCCAGCGGCAUAGCAGGGUAGCUAAGUACGGACGGGAUAACCGCUGAAAGCAUCUAAGCGGGAAGCCUCCCUCAAAACUAGUUCUCCCAUGAGAGUCGUGGAAGACUACCACGUUGAUAGGCCAGGUGUGGAAGUGCGGUAACGUAUGAAGCUAACUGGUACUAAUAACUCGAUUGACUUAUUCGA
rnacentral:rRNA from 1 species